UACGAAGGGGGCUAGCGUUGUUCGGAAUUACUGGGCGUAAAGCGCGCGCAGGCGGUCUUCCAAGUCAGUGGUGAAAGCCCGGAGCUCAACUCCGGAACUGCCAUUGAAACUGUUAGACUUGAGGAUGAGAGAGGUGAGUGGAAUUCCCAGUGUAGAGGUGAAAUUCGUAGAUAUUGGGAAGAACACCGGUGGCGAAGGCGGCGAUCUGGGUCGAUACUGACGCUGAGGUGCGAAAGCGUGGGGAGCAAACGGG
rnacentral:rRNA from 1 species